CCCAGUAACCAUGGUAGUGUUUGUCAGGUUCAACUCCAGCCAUGGUUUCCCAGUGGAGGCCGAUUCUGACACCAGCAUCUUCCAGCUCAAGGAGGUGGUUGCUAAGCGACAGGGGGCUCCAGCUGACCAGUUGCGUGUGAUUUUCGCAGGGAAGGAGCUGAGGAAUGACUGGACUGUGCAGGUGAGUCCCCCUUGGUGGCCGUUCCCGGGAUGCUGCCAGCCCCAUUGCUCACGCCGCCUGCGCUGCCAAUCUGACAUUCAUGCUUGAGAUCUAAUAGAAUAAACAGUGCCUGGGGAUUCCUUGAACUUUAUUCCACACUGCUUCAUUAAUUCUGACCUCCUUAAUUAUGCAUUAAAUGAGCAAGCAGGAAAGAUUAGAAGAACAACUGUGUGUGUGUGUGAGAGAGAGAGAGAGAGAGAGAGAGAGAGAACACCUGAGCUAGGCUUAGUGAAUAAAUGUCUACUGACUACAGGAGCAGCAAGGCACAAUUUCUGUGUCUGUUCAAUUUCUGCCUUACUUAUUCCAUUUGAAUCUUAAUGAAGAAGGGUUCGAAUAAAUGGUUCCCAGUCAGGCUGCUCAGUCCCUGCGCCGUGAGGAAUUCGUAACCCAAUUGUGACCCCUGGAGGAUACUGAGGGCUGCUCCUCCGCUCACUAGAGGAGGUGUGGGCUCAGGGCCACACAGGCAACUAGCUUUGAGCACUCCUUGGCCAGGACCAGAAUCUCACCGUGGGGAAGGCAGCCUGGAGCACAACAAAAGUACACCUUUGCAAUGAAUUUCUCCAAGGUUUAGUAAAACUGACCCUGGAAAUAGGCCCCUGCAAAGUAAUAGGCUGAAUGAUGCUCUCUCCUCUCUCGCCCCAGCAGAGCUUCCGGCAGCCCAAUGCUCCUGGCCCCAUAAAAGCCCUACACACUUUUCAUUCAGAUUGGUGACUUUUGUAGGAAUUAGGGGGAACUAGAACUGAAGGCCAGUCAUUUGUUGGGGAAACUCGCAAAUACAACUCACCAUGUGUUGAUGUUAUUCUUUGUGAAUGUGAGAAAGACUAAACACUUUUUGUGAGUGAUUCCUAUGACUGUUAAGGACCCAGCAGACAUAUGUUCCCCUUAUCUUAACCAGCAUCAAUUAAUUGCACUCAGGCUUACAGCUAUGUGGGGACCUCUGCCGUGCAUGGCGGGCUGGGGCACACAAAGCCCGUCCUUGGGUCUGCGUCCUAUCCCUGUGUCUUCUGGGCAAUGAUAUUUAUGACAUUUGUUAAAUGCUCUCAGGAUUGGGGUAUACAAAGAAGCCAUAGAAAUGCAAAUUGUUCCUGUCAUUCUCCAUUGCAUCUCCUGCUGAUGGUGUUGAGGCCCGCAGUCAUUGUGCACAAACUGCUGGGCUUUGCUUUCAGGCAAUUUGGAUUUAUAAGGGAAGUGCACGUGCUAAAAAGUGUUUUGUUUUUAUUUUCUAUUUCAGACCACUAAAAAGCUUUUCACUGUAUCUGCCAACCUUUAAAUCCAAGGAUGUUUCCUUCACAAAUAAGUAAUUUUAAAACAGCUCCUUGAAUCAAAACAUUUUACGUUGCUAGAACUUUCAGGUUCUAACACCCUCAUUAGUGCUGAUUUGUAAAACAAUUAGCGAUUUCCUAUGUAGUUAGACUAAUUGCCUCAGAGGAUUGACUUUAUAAACAUAUGUGCAUAAGAUAUGUGUUGAUUUAAGAGUCUUUAUUUUGACAAGCACUUCUUAAGCACUUCCAACGUUCUAGGCUUCUCCGGGGAUCCAAAAGAGAGACAAAGCAGCCCCUGUUUUCAUGGAGACUGGUCUUUAUUUAUGAGCCCCAAAACCAAAAGAAAUAUUAGAUUGAACCAUAUGGAAUUGCCAUUUUUAUAGGUUCAACAAUUGCAUGUGGUUCAACCUAAUAGCCAUAUAUAAGAAUGUGAAACAAAACUUCCAUAUUUCACCUGAAAAUAUCAUGAAGUUUUAAAGGUGGAGAAAAUACAUCUGGUUGGAAGUUACCAGGUAGAACUUCAUGGAUGAAUAGAAUUGAGGUAGGAUUCCACAGAUGGAGGAAUGGAAGAAUGAGCACAGGGAAUGCUUGAUGAAAAGGAUGAAUUCUUGUUGUUCUAGAACCUAAAGGGGGUGUUGCAGACUGGGCUAAAACAAAAUAUGGGCUAUAUUCCACAAGACCUUGACUAACUUGGCAUUGAAGUUUCACUGGUGGGGAACUGGAGAACAGUGGGAUGCCACAGAAGGAAAUGGGAAGUCUUAAGACCUAGUUUGGUUGAAGGAUGCUGUGUUAUUUCAUCACGAUGGGAGUUGAAGCCUGCUGAAUAUGUGUGUGUGGAGAUGUCUAGCUGGCUGUUGAGAACUUAGGUCUGAGGACACUGAAAAAGAAAAGUUGAUAUUUAUGAAACUUCUGGCAAAUCACAGUUAAAUGAUUUAGGUGCCGAGAAGUUGGCAAACUGUGUUCCCACAAGAGUUUCACUGUAAAGACUAGGAAGUUACACAUGUAAUUGCAAAUUGAUGGCUAUGUUUUAUUUAAGUGUACAAUUGGCAGAAUUUUAGCAUCCUUUGAUAUUCUUGUAUAAUCUUUUAUACGUUUACAACUAUUUAGUCAAUACCGUUUAGUUACCCAUUAUCAUUACAGGUGCUAUAUUUCACAGUAUAAGCACAAAAUAUACAAUAAUAAGUUGCUGCUGAGAAAAAGAAGAUGGACCUUGCAUAUGAGCAAUUUAAUGCUUUCACUAAUGAAUGCGAAAUAUACACCUUGGUGUCCUGAAGAGAAAAUGAGAUGGCAGGAGUCGUGUCUAUGCUUGCUGGGGGUUUCCCCCUGUUUCUCAUUUUCUUUUAUUCAUUAUCAUAGGUGAUAAUGUGAUAUAGCUGGCCUUAGAGCCUGAAUGACACCUUUUUAUAAAAGAAAAAGCUGUGUUUUAAAAUAAGUUGUAAUGGCUGCCCCAUUCUCCUCACAAUUGACUGCUGGCCUUGGCUUCUGUAAAUAAAACUGCUAGCUUGCUCUGCAAAAAGCCCAUUAUGUAAAGCUGCUUACCUUUUCUUAUCAGUAACCAUGGGAAUUGCUGGCCUUUGCUUACCAGUAAUGACCGGAAUAAGCAGCCCAAGCUAAUUCCAUCUUGGCUCCUGUGACUUGUAAUGAGUAACUAAGAUCUGUGGUUUCCACCACUACCCAGAUGAUGUGUAAACUAAGGCUUAUCUUGACUUCUGUAAACCAUUUAGGUAAAAAUCAAAGUGACAACAAGUCCCCCAGCCCUUGGAAUGUCCAGAGAUCCUCACCCCGCUCUCUGCCCAGGAGGUGAUUUAUGGAAUCCCCUGGUCCUCAGAAUGUCUGAAUCCCUUCACCCCCACCCCCGCCCCACACUCUCACCCUGGAGUUGGGCAUAAAAAGGUCUUGUCCCCCUCCUUUCUCUGCCAUGGGUUGGAGAGAUGUGAGUCCUCCAUGGCCGCCGGCAAUAAAAGACCCUACAAUUUGGCAUA